CCUACGGGGGGCUGCAGUAGGGAAUCUUCCACAAUGGACGCAAGUCUGAUGGAGCAACGCCGCGUGAGUGAAGAAGGUUUUCGGAUCGUAAAGCUCUGUUGUUGGUGAAGAAGGAUAGAGGUAGUAACUGGCCUUUAUUUGACGGUAAUCAACCAGAAAGUCACGGCUAACUACGUGCCAGCAGCCGCGGUAAUACGUAGGUGGCAAGCGUUGUCCGGAUUUAUUGGGCGUAAAGCGAGCGCAGGCGGAAGAAUAAGUCUGAUGUGAAAGCCCUCGGCUUAACCGAGGAACUGCAUCGGAAACUGUUUUUCUUGAGUGCAGAAGAGGAGAGUGGAAUUCCAUGUGUAGCGGUGGAAUGCGUAGAUAUAUGGAAGAACACCAGUGGCGAAGGCGACUCUCUGGUCUGCAACUGACGCUGAGGCUC
rnacentral:rRNA from 1 species